UUGUGAUAUAUCCCUCUUCCUUCCCACUAGGAACUUUAAGAACAAAUACUUUUGUGAAAUGACUCGAAGACUUCAUUUGAAAUUUCCAGGAAAACUUGAGUCAUCUUAGACCGCAUGCAAUAUGCCUUCAGUUUUUGGAUUGUGUCAGGAAUGAUACGAAUGAUAUGAUUUCCUCUGCUGACUGUAAGAUGAUGGAAGAAAAAUAGCAUUUGGGCAUGGCACGACAGCUGAAGAAGUCACAUACUUUUGUUUUGUAGCACCACGACAUUUAAUGGAUGUUGCAUUGUGCAUCUGUUCUUUUCCAACAUUAAUAUGAAGGAUGUCAAUCUUUUCCGCAGUGCUGACAAGGUGGGUAAUUUUUCAAAAAUUUACCAUUACUUUGUGUUUCGUGGCUGACUACUAACGCUCCUUCAACCAUUCCAUCUUGUCUCAUAAGCCUCCGUUGUUCCUGUGCCAGCAAAGAAUUUAACAAUUCUGCCAAAGUAAUUUUGGACUGAUCUUGUGUGUUUUCCUAGGUAGUUAAACAUGUUUCAUGUCUUUCGGGCACUGUAACAAGAAUUUUUUCAAUAAUUCUUGUAUCUUUAAAUUCAGUGCCUAGUAAUCUUACCUUGUUGACAAUACCAAUCAAUCUAUCAAAGUAUUCCUCGACUGUUUCUCACUAUUUCAUCCUCUGGAAUUCGAAUUCCCUCAUUAAAUCUAAUACCUUCAUUCCUCGUAUUCUUUCAUCUUCAUCAUAUUCUUUCUUCAGAUAAUUCCAAAUAUCUUUUGGUGAUGUGAGAGUCUUGAUUUCGUGAAAAAUGUUGUCGAAACAUCAACAAACAAAGUUGCUUUUGCCUUUGACUUAAUGGUUUUCUUUUCCUUGUUACUCUGGAUUUGGGCCGCGGUGGGAUUAUUUGGCAGCGGAUUGAUUUCAUAAUCCUCUUCCAUGGCUUUCAAAGAUCAAGAGCCUCCAAGAAUAUCCUCUCUCAAGUCUUUCUUGCAUUCGAUAUUUCACACGAAAGACUUGGGACAGCUGAAAUAGUUCUUGAGAAUAGAAGUAAGUAGGAGUAAGAAGGGAACAUUUUUAUCUCAAAGGAAGUAUAUCCUUGACCUUCUUGAGGAAACUGGAAAGUCAAUAGCCAUGCCUUGUAAUACUCCAAUGGCUCCAAAUAUGCAGCUAACAAAAGAUGAUGGUGAUCCCUUCAAUGAUCCAGAGAGUAAAACAUUGUGCAACUUUGGAGCAAAUAUUGUGUUACUUGAAAGGCGCCCCUAGACUUGGCAUAGUAUAUAGCAACAAUGGACAUACUCGCAUUGAGUGUUUUGUAGAUGCCGAUU